rnacentral:lncRNA from 1 species
UUGUGCAUUGGUGAAUGAGUCUCCAGGGGCUGAGGUUGGGGAUUUUGCUGUAACCGGAGGUAGUGGUGGCUCAGUUACAUCAUCAUCUGUGAAAUCUGGGUUUGGAGCUUGGGCUGGAGGUUUGGCAUACACAACGUGUAAGAGAAACCCCGGUUGAACAGGGGCCAUGUAAAGUGGAGUUUGUUUUUCCCCCAAACAUCGAUUCCCUGCAGAAGAAGAGAAACAAAGUUAGGCAUUGUUGUGAAACCUUUGGUUCUCAAUGUCUGGGGCCACUUACUUUUGUAUCUUGCUGCUGUGAAAGGGAACUCUGUGAUGAUUCCAUUGACACCGGCUCCAGUGAUAUAUGAGUUUAUCUCGACGGUUGGAUCAGAGAAGAAGUCAUAUGGUUGAGAUACAAACUCGUUCUGAAACAGUUCCACAUAAACCGGGAGCUUAGACUUCUGCAACCGCUCCACAACAUUGGUUUGCCUAAUGACAAAUGAAUCAUCAAAUAAGGGAAAGACUGAUGUUUUUACGAUGACAACAGCGUUAGCGAAUUUCUUUAUGUCUUCGAUGGCAGAGUCACUUAUAUCACCAAUUUUUUCUUCAACUUUGUAGACAGUCUCAUACUUGCUCUGCUUCUUGAAGUCAACAAGAACCGAGCUGUUCGUUGACUGAAUCAUGACCUUUGUUUUGGUUGUUCCAUUGCCGUAACCAGUUUCCGUGAGAGUAUCAAGAACUGCUUUUACCACGUCAAGCCCUUGCUUCUCUCUCAGGUACACUGCGUUCUGAAAGACAAAAUAAAAUUAAGUGGCUUUGCCAUUAGAAGACGUCAUAGUCUGAUUGUCUUUUUUUUUUGCUAAAGUCAUAGUCUGAUUGUUACAAUAAUAAAUAGAUGUAGGGAAUUUGAUGUAAAAUUGUUGGAUAUAACCUCUUUUAAGUUAAGUAGGAGUAGAAACUUACGAGUCAAGUUCCGGAUCUCAGCCCAUGUGAGACUAAAAGUGUAUAUCCCACCAUUUGAGCUAAUCUCAGGAACUUGUUUUGAGCGUUGCGCAAAAGGUGUUUGGGAGAUCAUUGUGCUGUUCGAGAGAUCUAUUGAACGUGAGCAAAAAGGUAUACCGUCGCUGGACAUCUGGACUGAGCAAUCGAUAACAUCAGCACCAUCUUUGAUGGCUUUAUCAUAUGCCAAGUCUGUACAUCCAGGGUAGUCCCCACUCGCUCCAUUUUUCGAUAUAACAAGAAAAUCAACUGAAGCAUGAACCAUUUGAUAGAGUCAAGGUAAGGUCUCUUUUCUACAAGUAAGAAAAUAACUAUAUAAAGUAAUUACUCUUACUACCUUGUUUUAUAGCGUUUUCACCAAGGUGGGAGAAGCAGUCUUGAGGAAAAUAUGAAAAGAAAAUGAUUGAUUUGAGUAUUUCGAGUAAUGUUUCAAGGAGAUCGAAUAUAUAUAUAACCCUCUUGGAAAAGUUUUGCUUACCAAUGGAUGAAGAUGCAGUUAAGGGAAAAUCUGAGAGCACACCAUCAACAGAGAAAUUGCCAUUGUCCACAAAAGAUAGAUACUCAGACACCGGAUCGGAACUGUAGUCAUGAGCAAUAUCAAUAUCAUUGGCAAAACCUGACACAUAUACUUGUAAUCCUGCCUCGUGAGCAUCUUGAACUAAGGAUUUAGGAGGAGGAGGAACCAAGUAUUGCUUGUCAUCAAGUGGCAAUAUGUAAGACUUUGGGACAAGAAUCCCUGAAGCAAACGUCUUGACAAAAGUCAGGUUACUCAAGAUAGAGCCGUAAGUUUGGUUUGUUGUCGGCUCGAUGUCUUCUUUUCGAAGAAACUGGAACACGAAAAUCGGUCCAUUACGUCCCAAACGGCCAGAAAUCUUUGUAAAGAAAUUCACUUCAGGGGAAGAGAUGUAGUCAAUGGAAACAAUUCUUGAAGCUGAUAUCAGAAAAUUGCUCAUGCUUAGAUUCUGCUGCUCGUAGAACGCAUCAUGCUGAACAUUUAACCAAAAACUUUCUGGUUUUAUCUGCGUCGUUACAUCUUCAACCGUCAAAAUGGGAUAUAUUCCAUCGAAUUUUUCGGUUCGAGAUAAUAUUCCUCGGAUCACUUCAGACGUGAAAGCAAAAAAAAUGACAUUUGUGAGAACUAAAGAGAAAAACACAAAUUUUUUUCUUUUUUUUACAGAAACUGUAACUGAGUCAUAAACACUUACAAGAAACAUCAUUGAGAUCUCUCAAGGAGAAAUCGAUGGUGAACCAACCCUGCGUAGAGACUCCAUUAACUGGGUAAGAUUUUUGGCGAUUUGGAUAAAAGUAUUCAACAGUUGAAGCGUUGUUUAGUUUUAAGUCAGGAAAGCAAAUCCCAGCUCCAUCUUUAGUUAGCUGAACAUCACACCACAUAACAGCACUUGGUACACUUGUCUGCACUGCGAAACCGUAAGCAGCACUACUCGAAUCUGGAAACAAUCCAGAAAACCCACCACGAGCAAUCACAAAAGGAGCGCCGCCUGGUAAAAAUAAAAGACAAAGUAAUCACAAGUUAUUUAAUAGAAGAGAAUAUCUAUGAGUAUCCCAACUUCUACUACACAUCUACAAAAAGAAAGUCCAAAUAGUGUUUUCUCCUAAAUUUCCCGGACAUUUAUGCUUAAAGAAAGAGAUAGAAAGUGAGAUCACACUCACCACUGAGUGUUUGCCAUGGACUGCUAGAUCGAGCAUCGGUUUGACCAGCAAACAGCUGAAUCAGAACAACACAACAGACUAAAACUGUUGAAGUUGGCAUUGUCGGAUUACUUCGCCGGAAGUUAACUUGACAAGCUUAUUUCUUCUUGGAGACUUACACCACACAGAUAGAAAAACAAAAAUAGCUGUCUUUUAUGCACAAUAAUUCCUACGCAUAGUGGACUAAUACAGACAGACUCAAGACUUGCGACUUAUAAAAAUAUGGCUUUAUUAGUUGACUCUAUAAGUCGUCUCUUCGUUAACUAAAUUAUUUUUACCGUUUGGCCACGAAAUUAGGGCAGAGCAAGGGUUUUUUUACUCAAUUGACUUUUUUUUUGGUUUCCUCGGAUUUAUGAAUACAAAGAAGAAGAGAACUGAAUCUCAUUGAUCAUUUACUAGACCAGCUAUGAUUAUCAUCUUUUCUCGUCAUUUUUGUUACCCUUUCUAAACCUCUUCUGAUAUAUUAUAAAAGUUAGUUCUUCCAAAUGUUGAGUGGGAUAUGAGAGGGACUUGUUGGUAAACCUAUACCAUAUACUAAGAAAACAAGGUUAAUUUUUAUAUAUUAUUAUUUAUUAUUAUUUAUUUGGUGUAUACAAAAAAUUAUUACGUAUUAUUAUUUAUUUGGUGUUCAUUUACGUAUUUUGUAUAUGAUUAAAUUAGAAUAAAUACAUAAAUCAAAUUCAUAUCUCUUGUUUAUAUACAAUAAUUUUUUGGUAAAUAAACCAAAACAAUCAUUUUAUUUAUUUUAUCGAGUAUGUAAUUACAUUUUAGGAUAUAAACAUAGAUAUAUAAUAUAUUUUAAUAUAAAUAUUUAUUGUUGAGACUUUAUACUCAUAUGAUUUUAUUAACAUUUGUAUAUUUACUGUAAAAAAAUUAAAACAUUAAUCACAAAAUUUUCAAUGAAGAUUUUUAUAAUGCAAAUUUUAAAAUUAAAAUAUUAAGCUCUCAAUACUUUUUCAAAGAAAAUUUUGAAAAUAACAUAUUUAUGUAUUUUUAUGUUGUUCGGGAACUCGCUAGCCGCUACACGUGCGGCACACCAACGCCUAGCGAUUUAUUGAAAAAGCAGAAAAAAAUUAGGGAGUACGCGGGAAAGAAUUUUAUGUUUUUUAACAUGUAUAAUACCUUAUUUAUACAUAUAAUACAAGUAAGUACAUGUUUAUGUAACAAAUUUUGUUACUUCCAAUGUUAAUAUAUCACUACAAGAAAACACAAGUUUUACGAGGGCGGCUUUCCUCGAGACUUCGUCGUAAAAGCAGUGUUACGAAGAAUUAGCGAGGAAACCCGUUUCGUCGUUAUACGUUUGUCGUAACGCAUAUAUCAUUCGUCGUAAGGUAGCGAGGAAAUGAUUUCGUCGUAAAAGCGAAGAAGAUUAUUUCGUCGUAAAGACCACGUAAAGCUUCCACGUAAGGACGUCGCUAUAUUUCCUCGUAAAUACCUCGAAAGGAGUUCCUCGUAAAACACACGUAAAUAACUCGAAAGUAAAUACUCGUAAAGUAAACGUAAAUACCUUGAAAGUUUUCCUCGUAAAAAACACGUUAAGUUUCCACGUUAAUUCCUUGUAAACUUUUCCUCGUGAAAACCUCGUUAAGCUUCCACGUAAAGAAGUCGCAAAAUUAGCUACGAAUUUACUUCGUUUCGUUAUUUUACAGAAAUAUAAAAAAUUAUAAUUAAAAACUAAUUAAAAUUAUUUACAUUAUUAAUAAAAUUAAAAUUCUAAAAUAAUCAAAACCAAAAUAUUUUAUAUAUAAAUAAGUUUUGAAUUUAUAAUACAAGAACCGCCGAUCAAAUAAAAAAGAACUAAGAGCUAGUCGUCGUGAAUCGCCCGGUAGAAUUCAUCACUCCUCCUCGCGACAUUCUCCUCGGCAUGUGUGUCGUCGGAUGUUGACUCGCCUGGAAUAGGAUUUUGUUGUCGCAUGUUCCUCAAAAAGUUCUCCCAGUCCGGAUUUGUGGCCUCUACAACGUCCAAGAAGCCCUCGAGUCCACCCACACGAGCUGUGAACACAGAUCGCGCCUAAAAAAUAUUUUAGAAAGUUAGAAUAUUAAAAUUUAUAAAUAUAUAUAAAAAUUUGUAUUUAAUUAAAGAUUUAAUUACCAUUUCCAAACGGACACCGGCGUGGGGUUUUUGGCCCGUAGUGUGAAGCAUCGGCCCGUUCCCGUGCUCAUCGACCGUGUUACGGGAGUUAGAGCAAGACUGGGCGACUCUAAUGGAAUCAGGAAGACGCCAAUAUCGGAUGAGGCCAUCCCACACAUCCGUGGUUAUUUUUUAAAAAUUUAAUAUCGGAUGAGGCCAUCCCACACAUCCUACCUUUUCGAACCUGAAAAAAAAUUUUAAUUUUUUAAAUUUUCGUCAACAGUAUAUUUCCCAACAUUAUCCACCUAAUCAACACUAAAUAACAUAAGAUCCGUAAACCUAUCUAAAUUCCCUAUACUAACCACCUAAUCUAUCCUAAACUAACUAAAUUAGAGAGUAAUUAGAGAGGCUUACCAUUGCAACGAAACAGGAAGGAAAUGGAGAGGAAGUACCGAAGUAGAGAGGAAAGAAAGAGUGAGCGCUCGGGGGUAUAUAUAAGAUUACAUACCGUCGCAAAUUCCUCGUAAGUUUACGACGAAUUACAGAGGCCCGUGUUUUUUUUACGACGAAAUAGCGACAGACUACAAAGGCCCGCGUUUUGUUCUACGAGGAAUUUACGAGGAAUGACAAAGGCCCGUGUUAUUAGAUACGAGGAAGUUACGACGAUUUAGCUUACGUGGAAUUACCGAGGAAAGCUUCCCUAUAAAUAUACCCGUAACUCUCCUUCUCAACCCACACACAAACUCCCAAAUCACACUCUAUCUAUCUCACAUCAUACUCCCAAAUCAAUUCCAAUUCAAAUUAUAAAUAUUUGAGAAAAAAGGAAGAGAAGAAGAUAUUGGAAUUUAUGUGGGCGAGACUUAAGUAUUAUAAUUGCUGGAAGUCUUGCCACAUGUAAAUCUGGUAUCUCUCUUCUUUUUCUUUUUUUUUUAGUUUUUACUCUACGAGGUGUUUACGACGAUUUAUGUUACGAGGUGCUUACGACGAAUCCGUCCUACGUGGAAUUAAAGAGUGCCUCCUUCGUCAUUUACUUUACGGGGUAUUUACGACUAUUUACCUUACGACGAUUCCGUCCUACGUGGAAUUGACGGGUUUCGCUUUCUUUAUUUUUUUAAUAUCGUCGUUAUUUCCACGUUACCUAACGAGUCAUUUACGAUGAUUCUGUCCUACGUGGAAUAAACGAGGAUUACGUCGUACGUUCGACGUCAACUUACGAGGAAUUAACGAGUAGUACGUUUAAAUCCCUAAAAUCCGAAACCCCAAACCCCCAAAACCCCAUAUUCUUUAUCUUCUACUUCAUAUAUUCCAAACCCCAUCUUUAUUUCCAUUCCAAACCACAAUUCCCACAUUUACUUAUGGAAGGAAAUGGAGAGGAAGUACCGAAGUAGAGAGGAAAGAAAGAGUGAGCGCUCGGGGGUAUAUAUAAGAUUACAUACCGUCGCAAAUUCCUCGUAAGUUUACGACGAAUUACAGAGGCCCGUGUUUUUUUUUACGACAAAAUAGCGACAGACUACAAAGGCCCGCGUUUUGUUCUACGAGGAAUUUACGAGGAAUGACAAAGGCCCGUGUUAUUAGAUACGAGGAAGUUACGACGAUUUAGCUUACGUGGAAUUACCGAGGAAAGCUUCCCUAUAAAUAUACCCGUAACUCUCCUUCUCAACCCACACACAAACUCCCAAAUCACACUCUAUCUAUCUCACAUCAUACUCCCAAAUCAAUUCCAAUUCAAAUUAUAAAUAUUUGAGAAAAAAGGAAGAGAAGAAGAUAUUGGAAUUUAUGUGGGCGAGACUUAAGUAUUAUAAUUGCUGGAAGUCUUGCCACAUGUAAAUCUGGUAUCUCUCUUCUUUUUCUUUUUUUUUUAGUUUUUACUCUACGAGGUGUUUACGACGAUUUAUGUUACGAGGUGCUUACGACGAAUCCGUCCUACGUGGAAUUAAAGAGUGCCUCCUUCGUCAUUUACUUUACGGGGUAUUUACGACUAUUUACCUUACGACGAUUCCGUCCUACGUGGAAUUGACGGGUUUCGCUUUCUUUAUUUUUUUAAUAUCGUCGUUAUUUCCACGUUACCUAACGAGUCAUUUACGAUGAUUCUGUCCUACGUGGAAUAAACGAGGAUUACGUCGUACGUUCGACGUCAACUUACGAGGAAUUAACGAGUAGUACGUUUAAAUCCCUAAAAUCCGAAACCCCAAACCCCCAAAACCCCAUAUUCUUUAUCUUCUACUUCAUAUAUUCCAAACCCCAUCUUUAUUUCCAUUCCAAACCACAAUUCCCACAUUUACUUAUUUAUAAAACAAACUCCCACAUUUUCUUAUUCAUAAAACAAACUCUCACAUUACCUUAUUCAUAAAACAAACUACACAAAAUCAAAUACAUCAAUCGGAUACAUCGAUAUUCUCGUCAUCACUAGAAAUAUCAUCAUUUUCAUUAAACUCGUCUUCUACAGCUUCGUCUGUGGCAUCAUCGGUAAGAUCUUUGUAUUCGUGAUUAUGCGGAUCAAUGAGAAGGAUGUCAUCAAUUUCUUGUUCAGGUUCCUCGACUUCAUUUAUCUGUUCUUCUUGCAAUGGUGGUUCUUCUCCACUGAUGAUUCGUCCUCGAGGUGUAACUUUGAUCACUGCUAACCAAUUUAUACCCGAAUCUCUCAUCCGAGGGUAUGGAAGGAAGCUAACUUGGUCUGCUUGUGAAGCUAAGAUGAAAGGCUCGAAUUUGUUGUACCUUCGUCCACCGUUGACAUCAACUACACCAAAUUUGUUAGACCGAACACCUCUGUUGACGACGGGGUCGAACCAUUCACAUUUGAAGAGGACGCAUUUCAGCUUCAGUAUCCCUGGAAAUUCGACUUCAAUAAUCUCCGUCAAGAUCCCGUAGAAAUCUGUUUCCCCUUUCACACAUAUUCCAUAGUUACUGGUCGCCCGCUGUCUACCAUAGUCAUAUGUAUGAAAAGUAUAGCCUCGUGUGAAAUACAUCUGUGAUGUGGUGACCUUUACAAGUGGAGAUUGAAUUACUUCGUGUAACCACUUAGGAUAAUCUGCAUCGUCGUCGUCAUAAUCAACCUGCAAAAAUAAAGAGAAUGUUAAUGAAAUACAGAUCAUGUAUGAAAAAAAAGUUUGAGUUAAUACCUGAUUCCGCAACCACUUAAUGAAGUGUUGAUCUUUCCUUUUGUCUACGUCACUUGUGGAUAUACCAGGAAAUGUUUCUUCGACUUGAGAAACAAAUAGGCUGUAAAAUCACAUUUUAUAGGAAUGAAUCUCUCGCAAUUAUACAAUUAAUUAUACUUAUAUGUGUUUCGAAGUGUCAAUAUAUGUUACCUUUCAAAAUAACGCAUCAAUGGAUCCUCGCAAUUGAGUAGAAUAUAGGUGUGUGCACUAUGAGCGUCUUGUUCACUCGACCACCAAACCUCUUUAGUCUUCCCACCGAGUCGUCCAAUCUGGCUAAAGAAAUCUGGAACACCAGUAACUGCAUAUGUUGGCGCAACCCCACCAUCAUCAUAUCUUCUUGGAGCUCUUCUUCGGGUACGUACUUUUGACGCAAAGUAGUACGAUGUGAAGUGAGAAACUUCUUCCGUCAAACUUCCAGCAAUUAUAGAACCUUCAACUUUGGCGAGGUUCUUUGCUUUUCCCUUCAAAUAUUUCAUGGCUCGCUCAUACUGAUACAUCCAUCCGUAAUGUACAGGUCCACGAAGCAAUGCCUCAUAUGGGAGGUGGACAGCUAGAUGCUCCAUGACGUCAAAAAAUCCGGGAGGAAAUAUCUUCUCCAAGUUGCACAAUAAGAUGGGAAUGUUCUCCUGAAGCUGUUCCACAACUUCUUCUUUAAGAGUGCGUGUGCUCAGAUCCCUGAAAAAUGCUCCAAUGCCUUUUAUAUUCCAAAAACAAUUAAACACAUUGUUAGUCGUAUAUUAUUUUGCAAACUAGACCGUUAGAAAAUUAUUGUGAUAUAAUACACUACGAACCUGCAAGUGCUUCAUGUACGUUUGUUGGAAGUAGCUCCGCAAAUGCAAAGGGCAGUAGUCGUUGCAUAAAGACAUGACAAUCAUGACUCUUCAUCCCGGAGAACUUUUGACCCUUUUCAACACAUCUAGAGAGAUUCGAAACAUACCCAUCGGGGAACUUCACUUCUGAUGCCACCCAGUUGAACAACACCGACUUUUUUUCUGAAGAUAAUCUGAAUAUCGGAACGGGAACUUGUCCAUUGCUUUUAAUAUGUAACUCGCUUCUUGAGCAAAUAUCCGGCAAGUCCAACCUCGAUUUUAUGUUGUCUUUUGUCUUCCCUGGGACAUUCAAUAUUGUAUUCAUGAUGUUCUCAAAGAAAUUCUUCUCUAUAUGCAUUACAUCGAGGUUGUGGCGCAGAAGAAGAUCCUUCCAAUAUGUCAACUCCCAAAAUAUACUCUUCUUGUGCCAGUUGUGAUGAACACCGUAAGAAUCAUGCAUAUUACGAGGGACAUGCCAAUUACCACCCCAACGAACUAUUUCGUUAGCUCUGUAGUAGUCGAUUUGUGCUACAAUUUGUUGUCCAGUUAGAUGUGGUGGAUGAGUGUCUCUCACAACCCUUUUGUGCCUAAACAAAUUCUUGUUUCUUCGGUAAGGAUGGCCAAUGGGAAGAAAUCGACGAUGACAAUCAAAUCAACUUGUCUUCCUACCAUUCUUUAGUUGAAACACAUCUGUCGUUCCAUUACAAUAUGGACAAGCUAAUCUUCCAUGUGUAGUCUAUCCAGACAACAUCCCAUAGGCAGGAAAGUCACUUAUGGUCCACAAAACCAUAGCUCGCAUCGUAAAAUUCGUCUUGGUUGAACAGUCGUACGUCCUCACCCCUGUUGACCACAAAUCCUUCAACUCUUUUAUCAGUGGUUGUAGGAAAACAUCCAGGGACCUUUUUGGAUGGUUCGGACCAGGUAUCAAUAUGGUCAAGAAUAGCAACUCCCGUUGCAUGCACAUCUCCGGUGGCAGGUUGUAUGGCGUAAGAAAGACUGGCCACAAUGAAUAUUAUCUCUCUGACAUUCCGAACGGACUAAAUCCAUCUGUGCAUAAUCCGAGAUACACAUUCCGGCUAUUGCUAGCGAAAUCCGGAUGUACUUUGUUGAAAUGUUUCCAGGCUCUUGCAUCUGAUGGAUGAGUCAUCUCACCAUCCGUCUGAGUAUGCUCGGCAUGCCAUCUCAUCUUUCCAGCAGUCUGCUCUGAUUGAUACAAUCUUUUCAAUCUGUCUGUAAUUGGUAGGUACCACAUCCUUUGGUACGGUACCCUAUUACGUCCCCGUCCUUGCGGCUUGAAUCGUGGCUUCUUGCAGAAUCGACAUUCUUCUAGCUUCUCAUCAUCUCCCCAAUAGAUCAUGCAGUUGUCGAUGCAAACAUCUAUCAUCUCCGAAGGCAACCCAAGACUAUAAACUAAUUUCUGAAUCUCAUAAUAAGAAUCAGCAGACACAUUGUCUUCCGGCAAAUACUCUUUAAACAAGUCCGCCCAUUCGUUCAUGCAACUUUCAGGUAGAUUGUGAUCAGUUUUAAUAUUCAUCAUUCUAGCAGCUAACGACAAUUUAGAGAGACCUUCUCUACAACCACUGUAAAGUGGUUGAUUCGCCGCGUUUAACAUUUCGUAAAACUUUUUUGCAUCUAUAUUAGGUUCUUCAUCUUCAUCAUGAGCUACGAAUGCAUCAGCUACCAUAUCAUGAACCCUAUCAUAAUCUACCAUCUCCUCCUGAUGGUAACUAUGUUCAUUAUGCAAAUGAUGAUCAACCGGUUCUUUUUCCUGAAAAUUGCUAUUACUACUACUAGCUUCAUUCUGAUCAUAAUUAAAACCUUCUCCAUGUUGAAACCAGAUAUAGUAAUUUGCCGUGAAACCUCUAUUUAUUAAAUGCUUCCAAACAUUUUCACGGUUUGCCAGUUUCGAAUUGUUGCAUUUCCGACAAGGACAGAACAUCUUACCACUUUCUUGGGCGAGCGGUGUUGAAUCUGCUUGAUGCAUAAAUGUCUCCAGCCCCGCAAGGUAUUCUUUCGUCACUCUCCCGUUAGCAUCUCUAUGCAUAUACAUCCAAUUCCGCAACUCGUAAAUAGUCCCAGAGCCAGCCAUUUUUUUUCUUUCACGUUUUUUGUUGUUGGUGUGUUUAAAAUGAUGUUCAAACAUUCAUAUUUAUAGAAAAUUUCGAAUCUGGCAGUUGUAAUUUUCCUAUGAAAUUACGACGAAAAUUAAUUGGAUGGCCAAAAAAAAACGUGAGCCACCUACCAAGUUGGUGGAUUCAAAAUUUCCUCGUUAAGUACACGUAAAAAAUUUCGUCGUAAAGAACUCGUGAAGUUUACGUCGUAUUUACGAGGGAAUAGUGUUUCCUCGUAAAAGCCACGUCAAUUUACAUCGUCUUUACGACGAAAAUCUUUUGUCGUGACCUUACGACGAAAUAACGAUGCUUUUCUUUUUCCACGUACUUUCUUCGCAAAAUCAACGUACUUUUACUAAGAUUGUUUUUCCUCGUUAAUUCUCCUCGUUAAACUUACGUUUUCUUGUAGUGUAUUGAUGUUUUGCAUUGAUAUUAUAACUUUGGUUCAUGAACUCAUAUAUACACUAAUAUACGAUGUACCAAGUAUUCUCAUGAAGUCGGUUUUGAUAUAAAUGAUGCUUAUAUUAUCAUUACAAGAUUUCCAAGAUCAAAUAUUAUGACCCACCACAAUUUGAUUACCAGUGAAAUUCAACCAAUGGGGGUUUAUAAUAAACUGAUACUUUAAAACAAGAGCCUCUUAAAACAAAUUCGAUCCCACAAAAGAGGUAAUAAUAAAACUAUAAUGUAGCUUUUGGUUGAUAAAUGACAUUAGUUUAGUCAUGCACAAAAAAGGUGAACACCUUGUUUUGACAGAUAGAAGACGAGUUUAAUUUGUCUAAAAAAAGUCAAACAGAAAUAAAAUUAAAGAAAAAUACAAAAAGUCCAGAACUAUUUUCUCCCACAUCGGUAAAAAAAGCGCAUGUGAGAAGUCUGAUUAUCUACAAAUACAUCUAUCUCUUCUAACUUUCAAAUUGCAUCGUGGGCUUUGCUUUAAUAAAGCCCAAGUCAUGUCAAAAGUUAAAAAUUAGUCGGUCAAAAAUCGGUAAAGAUCCGAUUAAUUGAGUUAGGUGGUUAAUUGUGCGGUAGCCGAUUUAUUGACCCGAUUAGGUCUUAAUCGCCGCGGCACUCACCCGCCGAACGCCUAGGCGGCUGAUUUUACUGCUACGUGCCUGCGGUUUUGAUUAAAGCUAUAUACCGUAUAUAGUUUAAUUAAAACGAUUUAAUAUAUAUAUAUAUAUAUAUAUAUAUAUAUAUAUAUAUAUAUUUUUUUAUUAUGAAUAUCUAUUAAAUAAGAUUUCAUAUUCAUAUAACUUUAUGAUUUUUUAUAUCUUGUUAUAACAAAAAUAUUAAACCAUUGAUCACAAAAUUUUCAAUGUUUGAAUAUGAAACUUUUAACAUUUUUGAUAAUUUAUUGUCGUUUUAAAAAAUUAAAAUAUAACAUAUAAAAAAAAUCUAAAUUUUUGAUUAUAUGAUUGUUUUUGUUUUAAUAAAAUAAAAUUAAAAAAAAGAGAGGAUACAAAAGUUUCAUCAAAUCUUUAUUAUUCAUAAUAAUUAAUUGUUAUAUAUAUGUUAAUCAUAUUAGGUAAUUCUGAAGUUUUUUAUUUAAGAAACAAAUAAAAGAAUAUUCUUUUGUAUCCUACUAAUCAAUUUCAUAGUUAUUUUAAAAAAAAAAAUAUAAUAUACGUUUAGUUUGGACCAACUUAUUUUAGAAAGAUUCUAAGAAUUAUCCUAGUGAUAAUACAUGUCUAAAAAAAUGUUGUAAUGCUUUUGCGUCCACUUAGGCCACUUAGGCGUCCGAGUAGGCGUGACUCGGACAUCACCCGCGGCUCCACAAAAUCAGGCUCAACUUACUCGGCCCAUUAAACCGAUUAAUCGGCCCAUUAACCAACUAAUCGGCUCAUUUACUGAUUAGUCAGCCCGAUUGUAUAGGACUUAAUAAUAAACUGUGAAAUAUAUAUCGGGCUUUAGAAGAAUUCCGAAGCCCAAAUACCGUUGUAGGACUUUUGUAAAUCAAUGCAAACAAUGCGAAAAUAAUAAAUUGCAGGCAGGAGCUUCGAACCCGGGGUUACUUGGCCUAAGAACAUGUGACAUUACCACUGAGAAACAGCGAAGUUUUGUUACUUGUACGCAAAUGUUAAUAUAUAUACGCGUAUACAUAUAUGAAUAUUCAAAAACUAGUCUAGAUUAAUUUGUUUUUUCACUUGUAUGGUAUUAACAUAUGCUAACAAUUAAUUUUGUUCAACUAAUAAAUAUAAAUUUCAAUUAUAAUAUACAAAAAAAACUAUUACAUUCUAAUAUAUUUAUAUUUUAUAUUUAAUUUAAAUAUUAUAAUUAAAUAAAAUAAUAAUUAAACUAGUCUCCGCGUAUACCCCGAUUAAUCCGAUUUUUUGGUAACUCGCUAAGCCCGUGAUUUCCGUCCGACUAGCGCCUAGCGUAGUUCCGAACAUACGAUUUUUGUACAUCAACAUACUAUAUGGUCCCGAUCAAUAAAUAUACACAUUAAAUUUGCAAAUUAAUACACCAACAAAAAAACAAUUUUAAAUUUUUACGCGGACUAACGAAUUCUUACUUACCACAUAUUGACCCAUUUUUAGUUAGUCAAAAAUCACUGACAUCUUAUAUAUUAAAACAGAAGUCACAACCUUGAUUCAUGUGUGAUUUUUUUAAAAAUAGACCUAAUGGACCUAUUCAUAGAAAUUCAUAUUACAUUUUAGUUCAGACUAAUAAUAAAUAGAAUUUUAAAAAUAUUUUAAUCAUAAUAUCUUUUGAUAUCUUUUCAUUUUAAAUAUAAAUAUAUUUAUUUUAAAAUUCUAACAAAUCUGUUUAAAAGAUUUUUACAAGAUCUUCAUUUUUGAAAUUAUAUUUAAAUAUCUUUGCUAAUUUCGAAAUUAGUUUAAAAUAUUAUUAUACAUUAAUAAAUUCAGUUAUAUAAAAUUAAAAAUAAAAAAAUCUAUAAUAUUUUAUUUAUUAUAUAAUCAUAAUCAAUCAUAUUAAAAUAAAAUUAUUAUAUUGAGCUAAAUAUAAUAAAAUUGUAUUAAAUUUAUAUAUUUAUUUAUUUUAUUUUCGUAAUUAUAAAAUAUUUAUGUUUAAAAAUAAAAUUUAAUAUGUUGGUAAGAUGGGUUAACAUUAUCAAACUAUAUAAUACAUGUAUAAAAAUUAACAUGUAUUUCUUUAAAGUUAAUAAUAUAAAAUCUUUGUAACUACUUUAAUCAUAAUAUAUUUUCAUUUUAAAUAUAAGAUAUAUUUAUAUAUUAUAUUUUAAAAUUUUAAUAAAUCUGUGUAAAAAUAUUUAAACAAUAACUUAAUGUAUUUUAAGUUAUCGUUUAAAAACGAAAAUAAAUAAAUUAUAUCCUAUUUUAUCUACUUUAUAGUCAUGAUCAUGUUAAAAUAUAAUUAUUAUACUAAAAUAAAUAUGAUAAAAUUAUAUUCAAUUGAUCAAUUUAUAAAAUUUAUUUUCAUAAAUAUAAAUUAUUUAUUUAAAAUAUAAUAUGAUGAUAGAACAUCUUAAAACAAACUAUAUAAUACAUGUCUAAAAAUUAACAUAUCUUAGACUUUUAUAUAUACAAUAAUAAAUUAUCUAAUAUUGGUAAAAAGAAAUCCAGUUUUGAAAGACGGGACAAAAUUUAGCAUAAAUUAAAUACAAAAUAAUUUUUAAAUAUAUUUUCUCAUUAAUAUAUUAAUUUGCUUAAUAACUAAAUGCAAAUACAAUAAGAUAAAUAUAUAAUAAGAAGUGGUUAACAAUUAAUUAAUUAUAACAUGUAAAUUAUAAAAUUAUUGUAUUUGAAAUAGUUAUAUAAAUAUUUAUGUAUAUGAUUAACAUUAAAAAUAUAUACCACUUAUGUUAUAAAACAAUAAUUCAUGUAUAAAAAGUGAAAACAAACACCCGUGCGGUUGCACGGGUCAAAAUCUAGUAUUUUUUAAAUGAUGCUAGUACAACAUGACGAAGCUUUCGAGUAUGGGCUUGUUAAUAUGAGUUGAUCUAUUAUAUGGGUUUGUUUUGUGUUAAAAUGAGAUUCAUGAAUUUUAAAAUGAGAAUUCUCAAAUGAUCUAUUUCAUGAAUUCUCAAAUGUUUAGUUUUAAGUCAGGAAAGCAAAUCAUUUAGAUAACUUUCUAAAUAACACUAAUUGGUAUAUAUGGAUGGAGAUGAACUCAACCAAUAUUACAAAAGACAGUUUUACCUUUAUGCAAAUAAAAUAUUUGGAAUAUGGUUUUGACAAAAAUAAUUAUGAUACAUUUUUCGAAAUAUACAAAACCACAUUUUCCGCUGAAACUGCAAAUGCUAAAACCGAAAAAUCACAUUUUCGACAAUAACUGCAAAAACAUAUUUUUUCGCCAAAACUGAAAGUCAUGCAAAACCAAAAAAUGUAUUUUUUUGUCAUCGUAAAACUACUUUUUCUGUCAAAAUCACAAUAACCCCCAAAUCACAAAGCACUUGCUUGGAUAAUGAAAAACAUGCUUUCUACAUGUCCAAAUUUUAGGACAAACUGCAAUGACUUAAUUGCCAUGAUCGGAGAACCUAAAGUUUGGUCAACUUUCUCAACAGACCUGAAGGGGAUAGGUGCAUUACAAAUAAAAUUUCACAACUUCAAGAGUUUCUACAUCUAUAGGGGGCAAAACAAUAUCCAAUUUUUUUAGUUAGGAUUGUUUGAAUUUUUCAUAGAGAAUUUUUUUUUGUUUAUUGUUCUAUUAUGGUUUUACUUUCCAAACCACCUCAUAUUUAAAUAACAAUAUGAUCUUUUGAUGUAAAAAAAGUUUGAAGACUCAUAAUUGGGUGUAAGGUCCAAACCGCUUUAUGACGCCAGAUAGCUAUUUAAACUAGUCUAUGAUAAUAAACUCCAAAACAUAAGUUAACAGAUACAUUUCCCUUAUUAUUUAGGAAUGUAGACGAUAUAUGACAUUUCUUGAAUAAAUAUGUUCCUGCCUUGACAAGUUCCAGUGAAGCUUUUGGGGUCAUUCUUCAGUGUAAACCGAAAUGUCUCGUGAAAGUGUUGGAGAUUCUUGAAGAGGUCCUAUGGGAAUGUGGAAAACGGGCCUAGGAGGCACUUCAAGAGCAUCCAAGCUUCCUUCCAUCAUCUCUACAACUCUGUUCAUCGGUGGGCGAUCUAACGGAGAAGGCUGAAUACACCACAAACCAACCAAAGCCAUCUUCUUGGCUAACUCGUGUUCUUCAUUGCUGAUUUCAUUCACGAUAAGCCUUCUAGACUUUCCUAAUUCAAUAUCUCUAUAUAUCCACUCAGGAAAGUAUAUUGAACUUGUGUUAGAAGCGGAGUCUUGAUGAGCCUUUUCUUUAUUCCUUGCGCCAAUCAUCUCCAGAACCAACAUUCCAUAGCUAUAUACAUCUGACUUGUGAGACACACUCCCAUAAACUCUUGAAAUCAUUUCUGGUGAAAUGUACCCCACUGUACCUCUUGUGUCCAGCAAUGACAAUGCACUCUCUUUCUUCUCACAGAGCUUAGCGAGACCAAAGUCUGAAACUUUGGGGCAAAAUUUGUCAUCUAAGAGUACAUUCUGCGGUUUUAUGUCGAAAUGUACAAUCCUUGUUUUGCAGCCAUGAUGCAAGUACUCUAGACCUCGAGCAACUCCAAUCGCAAUUUGAUACAAUGCCGUCCAGUCCAAAUUUAUCGAGGUCUUGCCUGAGAUGAAUUUAUCAAGGGACCCAUUUCCCAAAAAUUCAUAUAUAAUUGCUCUUUUGGAACCUUCGGAGCAGAAACCAAGCAAGGAAACAAUGUUGUGGUGAGAUGUUUGACUCAUGCUUGCAACUUCAUUGGUGAAAUCUUCACCGUUACCCUUUGAAUCUUUCAAGACCUUCACCGCCACCAUACGGCCAUCAGAAAGAGUUCCUCUAUAAACAAUUCCAAAUCCGCCUCUCCCGACCACUUCUGCGAAUGACUUUGUAAUUCUUUUCACUUGUGCAUAAGUGUAGUGUCUGAGUGGAAUAAGCGACUUCAGAUUCUGUUGUCUCUGGCGUACUCUUCUCUUCCGGAGAAAAAGAAACAAUGCUAAUAAGACCAAGAAUAUAACAAUGCCUGCUACUGAACCUGAAACUAGAAAAUCGGAGAAAUUUAGUGAGUUAAGUAUCUUCAUUUUAAUACACAGAAACAGGUCAAAGAAUAUCUUCCCAGCAAACUAACCUUUGCCAAUGACAUUGACCGAAGACCCUAUUCAAACGUUCAACAAGUAAAAUUUUGUCAGAAACCAAACUUGACCUCCAAAGAAAGGUAAAAGACAACAGAAAAACAUGUUGAGUCAAAUAACCUUUGCCAAUUGCUUUGACCGGAGAACCUGUUCAACCAUUCAACAAGUAGAAUUUUGUCAAAAUGGAACCAAAAUUGACCUCCAGAUAAAGGUAAAAGACAACAGAAAAAAUGUGUCAGUCAAAUAACCUUACUAAUCGGAAACAGUUUAAAAUUUAUCUUCCCAUUAUACUAACCUUUGUGAACUCUGUUGGCCGAAGACACUGUUAUAACCGUUCCACAUGUAAACUUUUGUCAGAAUGAAACCAAACUGAAGUAAAAGAAUAAAUAAGAGAAGACAAUGGUUUACCGUGACUAGAGCUACAUGUAUCGCCAUGGGUCCCAUCGUCACAAUAGCAGACGAAUCCACCUGAAGUUUGAUUAUAUCCACAAGCACCUUUAGAUUCUAGGCAAAUUGAGCAGUCUUCUUUAAGUUCAAGUUCAAAACCCUGUUCAAGAGUCUUCUUUAGACUGUGUAACUUCGAUCCCGAGACAGGCAUGCUGACGUAUUUUGUGCAAUUGUUCUCCAAGUUGUCAAUACCAUCCCUCCCGCUGAAUAAAGCAGACGAGCUGUUUAUCACGACACAGUAGUUUCUCACACCUGCUAUUUGAUCCUUACAAUGAAACUCCGUAGCAUAAUUGUAAACGUUGCUUUUAAAGAUCAGAGAUGACAAGUCUGGGCAGCCAUAUAACAUUUUUAGCAGAUCAGUGUCGGUAGCCAGUUGAAGGGCGUUUUGGAGGAACGGUCCAUUUAGUGGGUUUGAAGGACAAAGAUUGUCGAUAUAAUCUGAUCUGGCGAGUCUUAUAAUAUGAGAGGUGUAAUUUGCCUCUAAGAUUCUAAACUUCACAGAGGAGACUGUAAUCUCUGCGAAUCCACUGCUACAACUGAGGUUGAAGUCGGGGUUGCCGCAGGCUACUCUGUCAGGUAUCCAGAAUGGGUAUAAGAGACCGCUCUGAUCCCCACAGCGAAAUGGUUGACUGCAUCGUUUGUAAUGAUCAUAAGCUGAGAAAUCAUCAUCUGUGAAAACCGGGUUUGGAGCUUGGGCUGGAGGUAUGGCAUUCACAGCUUUUAAGAGAGAACCCGGUUCAAAAGGGGCCAUGUAAGGUGGUAGAGUUUCUUGUGUUCCCAAACAUCGAUUCCCUGCAGAAGAGAAACAAAAAGUUAGGCAUUGUUGUGAAACCUUUGGUUCUCAAUAUUUGGGGCCACUUACUUUUGUAUCUUGCUGCUGUGAAAGGGAACUCUGUGAUGGUUCCAUUGAUACCGGCUCCAAGGAUAUAUGAGUUUAUCUCGACGGUUGGGUCAGAGAAGAAGUCAUAUGGUUGAGAUACAAACUCGUUCUGAAACAGUUCCACAUAAACCGGGAGCUUAGACUUCUGCAGCUUCUCCACAACAUUGGUUUGCCCAGCGAUGAAAGAAUCAAACACAUUAAAGACUGAUUCUUUUCCGAUGACAACAGCAUUAGCAAAUUUCUUUAUGUCUUCGAUAGCAUAGUCCUUAAUAUCACUAAUGGUUUUUCCAAUUUUGUAGACAGUCUCAUACUUGCUCUGCUUCUUGAAGUCAACUAGGAUGGAGCUUUCCGUUGACUGAAUCAUGACCUUUGUUGUGGUUAUUCCAUUGCUAUAUCCAGUUUCCGUGAGGGUAUCCAGAACCGCUUUGACCACGUCGAGCCCUUGCUUCUCUCUCAGGUACACUGCAUUCUGAGGGACACAAUAAAAUUAAGUGGCUUUGACACGCCAUAGUCUGAUUGUUAAAAUACUUCCUCGGUUCCAUAUUGUAGUUUUAAAAUUUUCAUGUAUUUUAAGAAUAUAGUUACAAUACCCAUAUUACGGAAAAAUUGCCAAAACGGAACAAAAAAACAACAUAGUUGUCACUAUGGUAUAAAAUCAUAUUUGUCUAUUUAUUUUCUCUUUUACCCUUUUCAUUUCUGAAAUUUAAUGACAUAAAUAAUUUUAUGAAUCCAAAAAAAUAUUAAAAAUAUAAACAAUUAAUAAAACACCUAUAUACACAAACACAUUUUUUUGGUUAAAAAAAUUGAUAAAUAAAAGUUUAUAAUUACGUUACACUAAAAGUAGAAUUCGUCUUCUACGGAAAAUGGAUUAGUAGAAAACGAAUUCCAGAAUAAACAAGUCCAUUUACUUUUUUUAGAAGAAACAAUCUAACAAUGAUUAAAAUUCUAAAUAUGGGGAAUGCAAAUUCUACUAAUUGUAAAGAUGACUACUUUUCUUUUGAAUGAAGUUUUUACUUUUAUGAAGUAUUCUAAAAUUCUCGGGUAUGUGAAAUCUAAACUUAACACGAACGUCUACAAAAAAUAGAAAUUGUAUUCAGAAUUUUUGUCAUGGUUUUACACAGUGUCGAAUGUGUCUUCUACGAAUAAAAAACAAGUUUUUCCAAAAAUCAAGGAAGUUUCAGUUAAGAAAAUAUUCUAAAAAUAUUAUAAUUUCCUAAAAUGUGUCAUGUUCGAUUUUCUUUGUCAAAAUAUAAAAAAAACGAUUUUGGCUUUUCUUCUUCAUCAAUCUAUGAUUUCUCCAUAGUUUUUCUUGUUAUUUUCACAAACUCUUGUUCUAUGAUGCAUAUCUAUACAAUAUGUGGUGUUUGGGAAUUUAGUGCAAGCACGGGAUGGGUUUUUCGGCUGAUGAUAAAGGGGGUAGGCUACUAUUAUUAGAAUCAAGUUCUACCUUAGAGGAUUUUAAAAGAAUAGUUUUGGAGGAUUUUAGAAACCAAAUGCAAUUGGGUUACAUGAUAUUUUUGAUUUGUGUCGUGUGUUCUUUUUUUUUUCAAAAUUGUUUUAGCAUUUUUUUUUCCUUUCUAAAACAUUAUAGGUUACCUUAUUUUUUUAAAUCCUUUUCCACUAAACUUUUAAAAAAUGGUUUUAAUUUAUGUUUAAUUUGAUUUAGGUAAUGUUAGUUUUGGGAUUAUGAAAAAUAUUAUACUAUAGGACAACUUAAUGAUGGUUUUAUACCAUAGAGACAACUAUGUUAUUUUUUUGUUCCGUUUUGAUAAUUUUCCCUAUUACGGAACAUUUAUUAUAUGUAUUAAUUGUCAUAAUUAAUAUAGGCAAAGGGGUAAAAAACUACUACAUCUGUUUUAAUGUGUCAUUUUUUAUUUUUUAUUUUGUCAAAAUAAGUAUCAUUCUACAAUUUCAGUAUAACUUUGUACAUUAAAUUUAUUUUUAUCAUUUUGAAUAACCAAUAAACUUUUGAUUAAAUUAUUUUUAUUUAAUUAAUCUCAUACAUUAAAUAAGUAUAUAUUAGUUAAUUAAUCUUCGUACAAAAAUGUUAAUAUGCAAUGGAGGGAGUGUAAAGUUACAUUGAAACCACGAAACUAGUAUCUUUGUGAAACAAAUAAAAAUCUCAAAACUACGAUCUUUGCAGUAAGGAGGAGUAAUAAUAUUAAGAGGUUGGAGAACUCACUUCUACACUGAUCAAAACACCUGAGAGCGAAGUUGAAUUCUUUGCCAAGUUUAGGAACUCAGAAAGCAAAAUUAGCUUUCCUGAAUUUUUCUUAUUCGGAUUCCUGAACAUAGUGUAUGACCUAUAGGGGUUUUCAAUCGCAGCUGCACGAAAAGAUGGAAGAAAAUAAUUUUUUUAAAAAGAUGGGAGAAUAUUUAUCUUAACUCUCAAGGUGUAUAAUUUUGAUGUAAAAUUGUUGGAUAUAACCUCUUUUAAGUUAAGUAGGAGUAGAAACUUACGAGUCAAGUUCCGGAUCUCAGCCCAUGUGAGACUAAAAGUGUAUAUCCCACUAUUUGAGCUAAUCUCAGGAACUUGUUUUGAGCGUUGCGCAAAAGGUGUUUGGGAGAUCAUUGUGCUGUUCGAGAGAUCUAUUGAACGUGAGCAAAAAGGUACGCCGUCGCUGGACAUCUGGACUGAGCAAUCGAUAACAUCAGCACCAUCUUUGAUGGCUUUAUCAUAUGCCAAGUCUGUACAUCCAGGGUAGUCCCCACUCGCUCCAUUUUUCGAUAUAAUAAGAAACUCAACUGAAGCAUGAACCAUUUGAUAGAGUCAAGGUAGGUCUCUUUUAUACAAGUAAAAAAAUAACUAUAAAGUAAUUACUCUUACUACCUUGUUUUAUAGCGUUUUCACCAAGGUGGGAGAAGCAGUCUUCAGGAAAAUAUGAAAAGAAAAUGAUUGAUUUGAGUAUUUCGAGUAAUGUUUCAAGGAGAUCGAAUAUAUUCGCAAUUUGAUACAAUGCCGUCCAGUCCAAAUUUAUCGAGGUCUUGCCUGAGAUGAAUUUAUCAAGGGACCCAUUUCCCAAAAAUUCAUAUAUAAUUGCUCUUUUGGAACCUUCGGAGCAGAAACCAAGCAAGGAAACAAUGUUGUGGUGAGAUGUUUGACUCAUGCUUGCAACUUCAUUGGUGAAAUCUUCACCGUUACCCUUUGAAUCUUUCAAGACCUUCACCGCCACCAUACGGCCAUCAGAAAGAGUUCCUCUAUAAACAAUUCCAAAUCCGCCUCUCCCGACCACUUCUGCGAAUGACUUUGUAAUUCUUUUCACUUGUGCAUAAGUGUAGUGUCUGAGUGGAAUAAGCGACUUCAGAUUCUGUUGUCUCUGGCGUACUCUUCUCUUCCGGAGAAAAAGAAACAAUGCUAAUAAGACCAAGAAUAUAACAAUGCCUGCUACUGAACCUGAAACUAGAAAAUCGGAGAAAUUUAGUGAGUUAAGUAUCUUCAUUUUAAUACACAGAAACAGGUCAAAGAAUAUCUUCCCAGCAAACUAACCUUUGCCAAUGACAUUGACCGAAGACCCUAUUCAAACGUUCAACAAGUAAAAUUUUGUCAGAAACCAAACUUGACCUCCAAAGAAAGGUAAAAGACAACAGAAAAACAUGUUGAGUCAAAUAACCUUUGCCAAUUGCUUUGACCGGAGAACCUGUUCAACCAUUCAACAAGUAGAAUUUUGUCAAAAUGGAACCAAAAUUGACCUCCAGAUAAAGGUAAAAGACAACAGAAAAAAUGUGUCAGUCAAAUAACCUUACUAAUCGGAAACAGUUUAAAAUUUAUCUUCCCAUUAUACUAACCUUUGUGAACUCUGUUGGCCGAAGACACUGUUAUAACCGUUCCACAUGUAAACUUUUGUCAGAAUGAAACCAAACUGAAGUAAAAGAAUAAAUAAGAGAAGACAAUGGUUUACCGUGACUAGAGCUACAUGUAUCGCCAUGGGUCCCAUCGUCACAAUAGCAGACGAAUCCACCUGAAGUUUGAUUAUAUCCACAAGCACCUUUAGAUUCUAGGCAAAUUGAGCAGUCUUCUUUAAGUUCAAGUUCAAAACCCUGUUCAAGAGUCUUCUUUAGACUGUGUAACUUCGAUCCCGAGACAGGCAUGCUGACGUAUUUUGUGCAAUUGUUCUCCAAGUUGUCAAUACCAUCCCUCCCGCUGAAUAAAGCAGACGAGCUGUUUAUCACGACACAGUAGUUUCUCACACCUGCUAUUUGAUCCUUACAAUGAAACUCCGUAGCAUAAUUGUAAACGUUGCUUUUAAAGAUCAGAGAUGACAAGUCUGGGCAGCCAUAUAACAUUUUUAGCAGAUCAGUGUCGGUAGCCAGUUGAAGGGCGUUUUGGAGGAACGGUCCAUUUAGUGGGUUUGAAGGACAAAGAUUGUCGAUAUAAUCUGAUCUGGCGAGUCUUAUAAUAUGAGAGGUGUAAUUUGCCUCUAAGAUUCUAAACUUCACAGAGGAGACUGUAAUCUCUGCGAAUCCACUGCUACAACUGAGGUUGAAGUCGGGGUUGCCGCAGGCUACUCUGUCAGGUAUCCAGAAUGGGUAUAAGAGACCGCUCUGAUCCCCACAGCGAAAUGGUUGACUGCAUCGUUUGUAAUGAUCAUAAGCUGAGAAAUCAUCAUCUGUGAAAACCGGGUUUGGAGCUUGGGCUGGAGGUAUGGCAUUCACAGCUUUUAAGAGAGAACCCGGUUCAAAAGGGGCCAUGUAAGGUGGUAGAGUUUCUUGUGUUCCCAAACAUCGAUUCCCU